UUUCGACCUGAGGUCAGGCAAGMACACCCGCUGAACU
rnacentral:rRNA from 1 species